CAUGGCUGUCGUCAGCUCGUGUCGUGAGAUGUUGGGUUAAGUCCCGCAACGAGCGCAACCCUCACUUUUAGUUGCCAUCGUUUAGUUGGGCAUCUGAAAGAACUGCCAGUGAUAAGCUGGAGGAAGGUGGGGAUGACGUCAAGUCCUCAUGGCCCUUACGUGUUGGGCUACACACGUGCUACAAUGGCGUUUACAACAGGAAGCAAAACGGCGACGUUAAGCAAAUCCUAAAAAAAUGCCUCAGUUCGGAUUGUACUCUGCAACUCGAGUACAUGAAGCUGGAAUUACUAUAAUCGCAAAAUGGCGCGCCGGGGGUGAAUACGUUCCCGGGUCCUUGUACACACGCAUCC
rnacentral:rRNA from 1 species